ACUAAAUAGAUACCCUGGUAGUCCACGCCCUAAACGAUGUCUACUAGUUGUUGGUGGAGUAAAAUCCAUUAGUAAACGCAGCUAAACGCGUGAAGUAGACCGCCUGGGGAGUACGGUCGCAAGAUUAAAACUCAAAGGAAUUGACGGGGGCCCGGCACAAGCGGUGGAUUAUGUGGAUUAAUUCGAUGCAACGCGAAAAACCUUAACCUGGCCUUGACAUGCUACUAAUGAAGCAGAGAUGCAUUAGGUGCCCGAAACGGGAAAGUAGACACAGGUGCUGCAUGGCUGUCGUCAGCUCGUGUCGUGAGAUGUUGGGUUAAGUCCCGCAACGAGCGCAACCCUUGCCAAUAAUU
rnacentral:rRNA from 1 species